rnacentral:rRNA from 1 species
UACGAAGGGGGGCUAGCGUUGCUCGGAAUCACUGGGCGUAAAGCGCACGUAGGCGGAUUCUUAAGUCAGGGGUGAAAUCCCGGAGCUCAACUCCGGAACUGCCUUUGAUACUGAGGAUCUCGAGUUCGGGAGAGGUGAGUGGAACUGCGAGUGUAGAGGUGAAAUUCGUAGAUAUUUCGCAAAGAACACCAGUGGCGAAGGCGGCUCACUGGCC